GGGCGGCGGGUGCAGGGGCGCAGCGCUGCCUCCCCGAACCUCCCACAGCAUUGCCGAGAGGAACCCUCCGGUGCAGAGGGAAGUACAUGGAUAAGGAACAAGUGGGACGAGGAGGUUUCUCUUGUGGGUGUUUCCCCCUGGUCCCAGAUUUGCUGGUGGAGUUCUGCGCCGCUGGGCAUGGGGAGAGGGAGCGGACGCUCAGCGGGUGCAGGCGGUGUGUUGGGGCUGUGUUUUGUGCCUCCCCUAGGCUGCCAAAGCAGGGCUGAUGGAGGAUAGAGGUGUGGAGGGCAGCAGAGCUGGCACAGCGUGCGGGCUGCGGGAAGAACCUGCUGGGCAGAGCCACCCCAGGGUCUGCGCCCUGGGCACAGCCACGCCGGGUGCUGCAGGAACAUCCAGCUCUAUCCCUCAGAUCCUCCACUGACAGACGGAGCUGAUGAGCACAAGGCUCCCCUGACCGGGGCUGAGGCCGGAGUCGCUCUGUGCGGCGCCUGACCGAGACGGGCACUGCCCGCCAGCCCAGCCCAGCGUGGGCACUGGUGGUGUGGGCCCUGGGCAGGGCCGUGGCCGUGCGAGCCCCGGUGCUGCCGCGGGGCCCCUGCCAGCAGAACGUGUGCUGGGAUUCACUCCUUGCUGCUGGGAUUUAUUGAUGGCUCGCCGGGCUCCCAGCACUCGGAGAAGGGCUGGUCUGCAGCAAGGAGCGAUCAAAGCGCCGUGGGAAACAAGGCGCUGAGCUCAAGCGCUGCCGGCUCCGCAGGCAGCACCGACCGCCGCCGCCCUCGGCAUUCAGCAAAAGAAUCGCUGCGGAUUUGCUGCUUCCGCUCUUGGAAGCAGCAGCACAAUGGGGCUGAAGGAGAAAUUGGUCACAGAGUCAGCCCUGAGCCUCGGGACCCUCAGCCUAGGGCCUCCCCACUCCGCUGCCUACCAAGGAAAAAAGGAAACUUGUUUUCAGUUCAGGGUCUCCCAGGUAGCUCUGAACUGCCAGUCUCUUCCUGAACCCUCAGAAAUACCCAGGUUACGGGCUCAGUAGAUGGAAAAGAUAAUGGGAAAGCACGAAAGAGAAGAAAAGCAACCCAAACCAAGACAUAUACAGAGAAACCCUCAUUUGCCUGCACUGUCUGACAUCCUGAAAAUGCUCCAGGCUGUUUUCAGAGUCUCACUCAACCCCACCCAGCCCAGCUCUCCUGGCACAUGUGUGUCUGUCUCAGCUAAGGCUGUCCUUGUUUGCUGCGGGGACUUUCCCAGUGAUGGCACAAUCCCUGUGGCCAUGGGGAGCCGCAGAGGGACUGAGCAUCACCAACAGAGGGGACACAAAGGGGCACCUGUGAGGUCUGGUGUCAGGGCAGCUCUGUGCUCACCUGGGUCACAAGGACGGCCAGCACGUGGGGAUGCCACCAGGCCUUGCCACCUCAGGAGUCUGUGUACCUGGCACACUGCCCUCCAGCCAGCUCUCUUCACGGGCAGAGCACAGCACUGUGCACGGACUCCCAGUGCCGCCCUCCCAGAGGCUUUGAGUGAGCUGAGGCACCUCUUGGUGCUUUGGCUUCUCCUCUCCCACAAGGACAGCACCAACUCCCUUUCCUGCUAUCAAAGCUGAUAGAAGCAAGCAACAAGAAGGACUUGUCUUUCUGACCAUGUCAGCAAAGGGAAAUGCUGGCAGCUGCCUUUGUUUCUACUUCUUUGUAGAUGGUCCCUGCUGGGAGAAGGCGGGCUGGGCCGACCUUGGAGCUGUGCUCACCUCCCGUGUCUGUGCCAGCACAGCGUCCACAGUGUGGCUGCAGCUCCCCCCUUCCCGGGGACC